GUGACGACGAUGACGAAGACGGUGAAGAAGAGGACGACGGUGUAGAAUCCUUCCCUGGUCCACACGUGGUCCCUCUGCUCGCCCUGCAGGACGUUCUUCUACAGGAGACAGGGAGAAAGACGCUGUGUCCUUGAGCCUCAUCUUUAAAUCGCAGCGUCUCCAUGGCGACUAGCGACCCCGGCGUUCACCAGCAGGGCGAUCACGCACCUCGCUGGAGACCUCGGUGAUGCCGAAGUGUCCCAGGUGGCGGUGGAGGACCCUGACGUUCAGGGAUCGGAUGACCUCCUCGGCGGGGCGGGGCUCCGAGAUCCCCGGCCUAUCGGAGGACACGAAGAGCUCGAUGCUGUUCUUCUCCUCCUGGAAGAGCCGUUAGCGGAUCAAUCACUUGUUCAAACAGCCGACCAGCAGAGUGAAGCAGGCGCCGUGUCUCACGUUCAGCCGGUUGAUGUGCACGUGUUCCGCAGGAACGCCCAGCGCCGCCGCUACGCCUUCCCCAAACCACCGAAGAAGACUGAUGUUCAGCCUCCUCACAUCCACAGCCAGAUACUGAGAGCAGAUACACACAGACAGGGUGGACGUUGUGCCUGUUCUGGGUUUAAAGCUUAAUAUUAGACAGAUUUAUACAAUCAAGGAGAGAAGGUGGAGCUUCAGAGGACCUCUUCAUCCUCCAUGAUCCAACGCUUUCAUAUUCCUGCUUCCUCCGACAUAUUGAUCACUUUUAAAUAAGCUGCACCAAUGACAUCUUAGUCCCGCCCCAAAGAGCCUGACUGACAGGUAACGGACAGGUUUUGCCAAAAACAGAAAAGGCCUCAUCCAAUCAGAGGGCGGCUUACUCACCACGGUGACCAGGUGGCGUGCGGACACGGCGGCGUGAGGUCGCUCCAGCAUAGUGAGGCCGCGCUGCCCGCCGGACCCCAAGAGGGCGGAUGGCGGCGCUUUGGUUAACCCGGCUGGGCGGCCAUGGUGGAGAUGGGUCCCGAACACGCGGCCCACAUGGCGCGGAGGGUUCAGGUGGUCCGGGCGGUGACGAGGUGGAGGAAGACGGCUGGAGUCCCGCGGAGGGAAAAGACGAAGCUCGUGGUCGGCAGAAGACGACUCUGAGGGACGAAGAAGAGGAAGAUGAUGAAUCGUUAUCAUCACAUCCUUUGUUAAGAAAACCGUCAGCAGAUGUUCAACCUUCAAACUCCUUCACAAGUCGUGGGCACCGUGGAGGACUUUGGAGCAUCGAUGGAGGUGUGACUUCAUCACCGCCUCAUCCCUGUAGGAUGAGCUGACCCGCACACAUGGAAGUGAGCAGAUUCUACAGCACAAAGACGUUCUGACAGGUGACAGCAACACUGACACGUGUCCUAAUUCGACCCUCGCUGAUGCUUCUGCUGGGCGAGGAUCGCUCAUUAGAAUCCAGCUGCGAUGGGGAGGAUUUAGCUGGUCACAGAUAAAUGCAGCAUUCGACGGACGGGAUCAGCCGCCCGGGGGCCGAUGCGCAGGUCCGAGCUCGCUGGAGGCUUUACGGCGACAGCGGACGCACCUGAGAUCAGCAGCUGGCUCCACGUCAGACACCAGAAGAGGAGCGCGGCGGCCCCGCUGCGCAGCAUCCUUCCCGCCGGAGGGCGGACGCGCUUCUCCCCGGACGCGAGCGGCCGCUUCACGUGCGCAGCGCGCGGCCGAAGCGCGGACACACACCGGCACACGCGACGCUCCUUCCCCGCCUCCCGACGUCCGAAAGCGGCCUGACUGGCGGAGGAACGGCCCGAAGAGGUCCAGGUGGAGGAUGGAGACGAUGAAGAGAGAGGGCGGGGGAGGAGG
ensembl:lncRNA